CAGUCCUUAUUGUAAGAGCUGUCAUCUGUCCAUAAUUGACCAUUUUACUAAAAAAUAGAUAACAGUUGACAAUCCAAUGCUAUCUUCUUGGUAUGCCAGAGGCAACAGGACUGUAAUAUGUGGACAUUGAUGGCUGUUGAGGUUCAAGGAUGUGGAUUGUUCUACCUGUGACUUGGCAUCAUUCCUGGCAUCACAGAGGAGUGUGACUCUUCCAAUCCAUGGACAGGCCAGAAGUCAACUUGCAUUAGAAAAUGUGCUAUUACCAAGAAGCAUGUCACCAAGACAACCGAAUAGAACUGUCCAGAGUAUGUCCUUCUGCAGAAAUAUCAAUUGAGACAACUAUCCAGGCAUGAAAUACCUUCAUAAGAACUAAACAAAACAGAACCAUCCCUUUAUUCUUCUUCUUUCCCCUACAAUGAAGUGAUUCUUUACAACAUCCUGUGCUCCUUUUAAAGCCCAUUGGUUCCUUGUGGUGCUGUCAGAAUGUACAUGAGGAACGUCUACUGAAGAAAGGAAAGCCUCUCAGAAGCCAAAUACCUGAAGAAAACUCACUCUGCCUCUCAUAAGAAUCCAUCAGUGGCCAAUAUCACCUCAGGACGUAUCCCAGAUGAUUGAGUCGGGGGAAAGUCUACAAAAGUUUGGAUGUUGAUUAUUUCCUAAUAUCCCAGAAAUGAGAGGAAAGCCUAAACAUGAUCUAGGAUUAAGGUAUUGC
rnacentral:lncRNA from 1 species